GGAGUGGGUUGCAAAAGAAGUAGGUAGCUUAACCUUCGGGAGGGCGCUUACCACUUUGUGAUUCAUGACUGGGGUGAAGUCGUAACAAGGUAACCGUAGGGGAACCUGCGGUUGGAUCACCUCCUUACCUUAAAGAAGC
rnacentral:rRNA from 4 species